rnacentral:rRNA from 1 species
UACGAAGGGGGCUAGCGUUGCUCGGAAUCACUGGGCGUAAAGCGCACGUAGGCGGCUUGUUAAGUCAGGGGUGAAAUCCUGGAGCUCAACUCCAGAACUGCCUUUGAUACUGGCGAGCUUGAGUUCGGGAGAGGUGAGUGGAACUGCGAGUGUAGAGGUGAAAUUCGUAGAUAUUCGGAAGAACACCAGUGGCGAAGGCGGCUCACUGGACGACUGUUGACGCUGAGGUGCGAAAGCGUGGGGAGCAAACAGG